UUUAGCUGAAAAGACGUAAAGGAAGCAGUCACCCCAGUGGUGUUUGUGGAGAGGUAUUCCUUCAGAAAUGGAGAAGACAGAAAGCUGCAGAGGCAGGAUUGUUUGCAGAUAAUGCUGUUCUUCUUUUUCAGAAGUUUUUGGUGGGCCAACCCUCACAAACCUUCCUAAAAACUAAAAGAGCUAUUACUGAGUCUCAGCGAAUCUUGCCAUGAUCAGCUCUUCCCAGAAGAGAAGGAAGACCAAGGAAAUGAUUUGCUCAGGAUGAGGAAUGAAGACGGCCAUCUUGUGCUCAAACAAACAGAAGUCCUCUG